ACGGACGAAGGAGUCUAACACGUGCGCAAGUUGGCGGGCUUUUUUGAAACCCGCAGGCAAAAGUGAAAGCAAAGGGGUUUGAGAAAGCCAGUCUUGAAUUGGUGGACUCUGCCUUGAUGGAGGAUCCAUUAAAAAAUAAAUUGGUGGCGCACUCCAGGGGCGUUCUUCCUUGCGUCUGUACCUCUGCGUCUGAUGGUCCCCGCGUCUGGUUCUGCAGUGGUGUAGGGUUCUCUCUGCAUCCUGUGGUUCUAUUGAUGUGGUGUGGCUGUUGGGCAUCAUGUGCGAUGCUAUUGGGAGGGCGCACCAAGAGCGUACGCGUUGGGACCCGAAAGAUGGUGAACUAUGCCUGGCCAGGAUGAAGCCAGAGGAAACUCUGGUGGAGGUCCGUAGCGAUUCUGACGUGCAAAUCGAUCGUCUGAGCUGGGUAUAGGGGCGAAAGACUAAUCGAACCAUCUAGUAGCUGGUUCCCUCCGAAGUUUCCCUCAGGAUAGCUGGAGCUCUUUGAAAGAGUCUCAUCCGGUAAAGCGAAUGAUUAGAGGCCUUGGGGUUGAAAUGACCUCAACCUAUUCUCAAACUUUAAAUGGGUGAGAAACCUGGCUUGCUUGACUGAAGCCCAGGUCUCGGAUCUAUGUGCAGCCCAGUGGGCCACUCUUGGUAAGCAGGACUGGCGAUGUGGGAUGAACCAAACGUUGGGUUACGGCGCCAAAAUCUAUGCCGAUUCAGAAACCAGGAAAGGC
rnacentral:rRNA from 1 species